UUUUGAAAGCCAGAAGCUAAAGUGGCUUAAGAGAAAGCUAGAAGUAUUGGGGUAGUGGUGUUCCCACUUCAGGGUGAAGUUGUCAGGAUGUACCUGUUUUAUGAUUCUAGUUCCUUUGAUUGGCAGUCCUUGAACUAAAUUAAAAACAGAGAAAAGUUCAUAUGAUUUAAACUCAUGAUGCUUCUUUGUGAAAAGGGAAAAUGAGACAUGUUGUUAGCCCCAGCAUCUCUUUUGAGAUGGGGGUUUUACUAUGUUGCCCAGGCUGGCCUCAAACUCCUGGAUUCAAACUAUCCUCCCCCGUAGGUGGAAUUACAGGUGCAUGCUACCGUGCUUGGCUAUGGGCUUGUUUUUAAUUGUUGGACGGUCUGGGUGCCCCUUUCACUUUAUUCUUUUUUUCCGCUCUCACUUUUUUUUCCUCUCACUUAUUAAGUCUUUGUCCUCUUUAAGUCCUCUUCUAAAAGACUGGAAUUGCAGGUUACAUUUAUAACUAAAUCUUCCUAUCUAGGUAAAGAGAAAAUAUACUAAAUUCCAUAGAAAGCAGGUAAUUUGUCCACAGGACACAGAGCUGAUCACUGUGGAAGAUCCCUCCAAUCACAUCUUCGAUUCUCUCUCCCUCUUUCUUUACCUUGCCUUUGCUCUCUCCAUGUGACGUGCCUGCUCCCCCUUCACCUUCCACCAUGAUUGUAAGAUUCCUGAGGACUCCCUAGAAGCUGAGCAGAUGCCAGCACCAUGAUUCCUGUAAAGACUGAAGAACCGUGGGUCAACUCUACCUCUUUCCUUUAUAAAUUACCCGGCCUCAGGUAUUUCUUUAUAGCAACGCAAGAACAAUACCUUAUUGUUUUCCCAUUCAUCCAAACAACUGGAAAUUAAGCUUCCUGAGGCUGGAGGCCUUGGGUGUUUAGGACAUAGUGAGCGCUCAACAGACACAUGUUAAAUGAAAGAGCCAAUACUUUAUUGCGCGCUGCUGUGUGCCCGGUAUCGCUCUAGGAGCUGAGAGUAGAGAAGUAACGACUACACUGCGCUUCCUUUGGAGAGAGACACUGGAGAACUAAAACCGACCCAAGCGCUAAGCGAUCUGCCUAAUAGAGGGAACGCCAGCUGAGACCAGCGCAAGGCGGGCGCUGGGUGGCGUGCGCGACUGCAAAGUCUGGCAUGCCCAGGUUCUGCUCCUUGGGCUCCUGCUGCGUGAGCCGAUCUGCAGAUCCAGCAAAAGACCCGAGAGCGGCUUGAACGCCAGAUGAUUCCUCCCUGAGGAUGCGCCCCAGGCGUUCUGCCCUGGCUCCCAGCCGCCUCCCGGUGCUCCGGGGUUCGGCCUCACACACCUGUCGACCGCGUCGGCCCAGCUGCGGCCCAAGCCUGUGGGACUCCGGGGAGCGAGGCGCCCCCUGCUCCAGGCUGGGAACCAGAAAUGCAGCAGGGCCUCAAAAAGAAACAAAAUUCUUUCCCUCGGGGUUGCUGCUGCCGCACAACCUUACCCAGCCCGCUCUGCGGAUGGGUCGUAGAUUCCGGCUGGAAGCCGGAGGAAGUGCAUAGAGGGCAGCUUCAAAAGCCAAGGCUGCGCUGCUUUGCGCGGGGCUUCUUCCCUCGCGUGCCCGCGCCGGGUGCCGGAGCAGCCUCCGCAAGCUGCUUUCAUCUCGGUCUGCCGGGGCAGGGUCGAACCGCAGCUGUGGGGCUUCCUCUCCAAGCUUCGAUUUGAGCUGGAUGGAGACAGAAGAGACCGUGGUGCCCAGAGGCCAGUCUCACGGGGGAUGGGGGCGGGUGGGAUGGGAUCAGAAAAAGCUUGAAAUUCCUCCUGUACCUUAAACCUAAACAGCUGCGAGAGCCCCAGAGCAGGAAGCGCGGCUGCGGCUGAGAAGCUGGAGGAGGACCGGGGCGGGGAGGAGUAGCCCCAGCAGCAACAGCAGCCAGCCCGGGGGCGUCCUCUCCCAGCGGUGACCAGGGCCAGCCUUUGCCAGCCUGCCCGUCCUCGGACUCCUGGGGAACGUACACACAGCCUUUUGCUUAAGCAAGGCGCUCUGAAGCCGAAUUACGUCUGCCUGGCAUCCCGAAACACUGACGGCCCUGCUAUGGCUGUGGGCAAAUUCAGGGGUGGGGGUGUGAGGGGGGGACUAGCAGAGAAAGAGUUAAUCUCCCAAGAGGAAUAUACAUCAGUACUCUCCUGUCACUUGCUUUUUAUUUAAUGUUAAUGUUAGACUUCACCAGAUAUUUCAACUGACAAUUUCAACAUUUUCACCUACAGAAUUUCCUGGAAGGAAAAAAAAGCUUCUUAGUAAACAUGUUUCUCUGUC
rnacentral:lncRNA from 10 species